rnacentral:rRNA from 1 species
CGCUCUCUGGGAUAAAAUCAUUUUAAUAAUUGUAUAGAGAGUCGGACCUGCCCAGUGACUAUGAAUGUUAAACGGCCGCGGUACUCUGACCGUGCAAAGGUAGCAUAAUCAUUUGCCUCUUAAUUGGGGGCUUGUAUGAAUGGUUUGACGAAAGCUAAGCUGUCUCUUUUUAAAUUUCUAGAAAUUAUUUUUUAGGUGAAGAAUCCUAAAUUUAAUUGAGGGACAAGAAGACCCUAUUGAGCUUAAGUAAAGUUAUAUAUGUAUUAGGUACAAUAAUUUAUAGAUUUCAUUGUAUGAAAGGAUUAUAUAUUGUGAAUCUUUAGUUGGGGCGACUUAGGAACAAACAAAGCUUCCUUAAAACGUUAAUAAAUAUAUGUGUUGGUGGUCACACUAAAUAAUUGAGAUCCAGUAUUCUUACUGAUCAAUGGAAAAAGUUACCAUAGGGAUAACAGCGUAAUCUUUCUGGAGAGUUCUUAUCGAAAGGAGGGUUUGCGACCUCGAUGUUGGACUAAGAUAUCCUGGGGGUGUAGCAGCUUCCGACGGUUGGUCUGUUCGACCAUUAAAAUCUU